rnacentral:lncRNA from 1 species
GAUGAAAGUAGUUGUAGCCGCCCAGAAGAUGGAAUUUGUAAAAAGCGAGACCAAUCGUGGUGCAAAUAUCCACGCGUUCGCCAGCAAUGUCCAAGAUUGUGUGGCGUCUGUGGUAAGAUUGAUUUAAACCUUCUUGAAUGACUCAGUACCCUCAGUACACAGCUAGCUGUUUAUAAUUCCUCCUCUAAUUAAACGGAGGUUUCUAAUUUUCAAUUGAUCUAGACAUAAAAGCAAUUGUUAAAAUCAUUGUUUCGAAAAUCUGUGUAUAUAUAUUGAAAAGCUGCCUUAAAUCUACUUAAACGCAGAAUGGUGAUAAGUAAUAUAUGAUUUAAUGAGAUUCCAUUUCGGCUAAUAUAGCGCCGUCAUACAGGGAAAUCGCCACAGGUUCCCCAGUUACGGCGACCCCAUAAUUAACUUUACAAUUACAAUAAAUUUAACAGUCGAUACAAACUGUCAGUAAGACAAGCUACAAUCGAUGCAGCGGACAACUUAAAACUCCAUCAAGGAACCUAGCCGUUUUACAUUUAACACACGAGAUUUCCAAGUUCGAGGAUCGUCACAAUGUAAUACAACUUUAGUCCAGAUUUGAAAGCAUGCAAACUCCAAUAUUACGGACCGGAGUUGAACCAUUUUUAAUCGAACUGAAGGGAUCAAGUCUUUUUAACUUCCAAUUAGAACUUUCAUGUACAAUUUAAUAUGAAUUUAUGCUGUUCUAAUAUGCUCGUACGAUUACAAUGCAUUCUAAACUUCCAGACUAGCAGAGGUAAUGAAGUUUGGGCGUUUACAACAAAAGGGUGAUUUCUAAAGGGUCACUUUUUUUUUAGAUACCCUGUAUAUGUGGAUAUACAACACCUCAUUAAACAUUGAUUUCUUUUAAAUUUUCUUCUUGAAUGAUUCAAAGCCAGAGGCAAUUUUUUUUAAUGAAAAGUGUUCAAAACCUAAAAUGUUUUUGCCGUUCCUCUCAAAAUUACCGUAUUUUAGCUUUAAUUAUUCUCUAGUUUAUAGAGUUUAAUAGCAACCUUUUUAAAUGCAUCUGCCGGUUGAGAAACAUGAAAAAAUUAAUAGUGAAAAAUUGUCAAUUAAAAUACAAUUAUCAAUGAUGCUUUAAAAUUGACGCCAUAUUUACAGCCGUAUAUUAAGCAAAACUUACUGAACUUCAGACAUCAUUUUCUCUUUGGCGUACCGUCUAGAAUCUCUUCAUUUUAGCAUUAUUUUACAGAUAAAGCACUAAACAUACUUUUAAAGUUUGUUUGCCAUUUGAGAAACGUAUCGAAAAAUAAAAAUUUUGAAUUUAGUCAUAACCUCAAGUGGUAUAUUAUACGCAUUAGUUUUGAGCGCGUGUUACGUGACAUACAAAAAAAUCUCUUAAUGACUUCUACAAAUUUGGAUACCAAAUACUAUUCUGAUAUCUUUACUUCUUUGCUACUAGCUCCAUUUACUGGCGUGUGUCCCAGCAGUUACAUAUUUGGCUGCUGUUGGGAUGGUAGUGAGUCACUGACACCGGACAAAUCUGAUUGCAAUGGUGAGUUUAUAACAGAAGGAAUAC